ACUGAGCUUAGUAGCAUGAGCUUGUAACCCAAGUGGGAGCAAUAAGAUGAUUGGGACAAAUCAAAUCUUCAGCCCUUGACACAAAUAGUGCGUUGGUUUGGGUUUAUAAUAAUAAGCGGUUCUUGGUUCUUGGUAUAGUACUAGAUCAGCAUGUUGUCUAUUGUCUACCCGACAUAGCAGUGGGAGUAGAGGGGGUAACUGAUGACUCUCCCCUCAUUGGCUGGCUUAACAGAGCAGCGCUCUCACAUUCCCAAGUUCGCGCACACUCCCAAGUCACCACUAGAGAUGUCAGACUGUUAUUGAUUUGGACCAUCAUCUUU
rnacentral:SRP_RNA from 1 species